UCUCUCCCCCACCGCUCCUUCUCGGCGCCCACCCACGCCUGGUCCGGCCGCAUCUGGGCGCGCACCAGCUGCGUGCCCACCGGCGGGGCUGGGUAGCUCUGCUGCGCCACGGGCGACUACGGCGGGUGGCUCCAUUGCGGGGGCCUUGGCGGCGUGGCGCCCGCCACGCUGGCACGGGUCUCCCUCCACCACGGCGACGACCAGUCGUCCUAUGGGGUGAGCGUGGUGGACGGCUUCAACAUGGGCAUGUCAGUGACCCCGCAUGAGGGCCGCGGUAACUGCCCCGUCCUCGCCUGCCGCAAGGACCUGACGCAGACCUGCCCCGGCGAGCUGCAGGUGCGCGCGGCGGCGGGCGGCGGCGUUGCCGCGUGCAAGAGCGGCUGCCUGGCGUUCGGAACCGACGAGCUGUGCUGCCACAACGCGUACAACAGCCCGGCCACCUGCCGCCCCUCCAAGUACUCGGACUUCUUCAAGAGCGAGUGCCCGCAGGCCUUCACCUACGCCCACGACAACCCCUCCCUCACCCACCAGUGCUCCGCGUCGUGCGAGCUCAAGGUCAUCUUCUGCCACUAG
rnacentral:rRNA from 1 species